GCGCUCGUAGCUUAGCGGAUUAAGCACUUGACUUUUAAUCAAGGUAACGUGGGUUCGAGUCCCAUCGAGCGCA
rnacentral:tRNA from 1 species